CCUAGUAGAAGGGGAUAGCCCGAGGAAACUCGGAUUAAUACCGUAUACCUCCUUCGGGAGAAAGAAGGCCUCUCUUUGAAGCUUUCGCUACUAGAUGAGCCUGCGUAAGAUUAGCUUGUUGGUGAGGUAAAGGCUCACCAAGGCUACGAUCUUUAGCGGGUCUGAGAGGACGAUCCGCCACAUUGGGACUGAGACACGGCCCAGACUCCUACGGGAGGCUGCAGCAGGGAAUAUUGUGCAAUGAGCGAAAGCUUGACACAGCGACACCGCGUGUGGGAUGACGGUUCUAGGAUUGUAAACCACUUUCAGGAGGGAAGAAAAUGACGGUACCUCCAUAAGAAGACCCG
rnacentral:rRNA from 1 species